AACGCACAUUGCACCUUUCAGCAUUCUGGAAGGUAUGCCUGUUCGAGCGUCAUUUCAACCCUCAAGCACUGCUUGGUAUUGGGUGUCACCUUCCUCUGGUGCACCUCAAAAGUAGUAGCAGCGAUCUUUCAGUCCCGAGCAGAGUAAAAUUUUCUUGCUUGUGGGGCUUUGAAUGUAGGCUUGCUUAGACAUCCAUUAAAAGGUUGACCUCGGAUCAGGUAGGGAUACCCGCUGAACUUAA
rnacentral:misc_RNA from 1 species